rnacentral:tRNA from 1 species
GGAAGACUCGCCUAAUUGGUAGGGCAGCGGUUUUGAAAGCCGCCGGCCACUGGCCUUGAGGGUUCGAGUCCCUCGUCUUCCG